UCCCAGCUGGCUCAGUUGGCAGGGUAUGUGACUCUUGAUCUCGGGGUCAUGAGUUUGAUCCACAUGUUGGGUA
rnacentral:tRNA from 1 species